rnacentral:rRNA from 1 species
GAUGAACGCUAGCUACAGGCUUAACACAUGCAAGUCGAGGGGCAGCAUGAACUUAGCUUGCUAAGUUUGAUGGCGACCGGCGCACGGGUGAGUAACACGUAUCCAACCUGCCGCUGACUCGGGGAUAGCCUUUCGAAAGAAAGAUUAAUACCCGAUGGCAUAGUUCUUCCGCAUGGUAGAACUAUUAAAGAAUUUCGGUCAUCGAUGGGGAUGCGUUCCAUUAGGUUGUUGGCGGGGUAACGGCCCACCAAGCCUUCGAUGGAUAGGGGUUCUGAGAGGAAGGUCCCCCACAUUGGAACUGAGACACGGUCCAAACUCCUACGGGAGGCAGCAGUGAGGAAUAUUGAUCAAUGGACGAGAGUCUGAACCAGCCAAGUAGCGUGAAGGAUGACUGCCCUAUGGGUUGUAAACUUCUUUUAUACGGGAAUAAAGUGAGGCACGUGUGCCUUUUUGUAUGUACCGUAUGAAUAAGGAUCGGCUAACUCCGUG